UACGUAGGGAGCAAGCGUUGUUCGGAUUUACUGGGCGUAAAGGGCGCGUAGGCGGCAAAUUAAGUCAUCUGUGAAAUCUCUGAGCUUAACUCAGAACGGUCAGGUGAUACUGAUCUGCUAGAGUGCGGAAGGGGCAAUCGGAAUUCUUGGUGUAGCGGUGAAAUGCGUAGAUAUCAAGAGGAACACCUGAGGUGAAGACGGGUUGCUGGGCCGACACUGACGCUGACAGCGCGAAAGCCAGGGGAGCAAACGGG
rnacentral:rRNA from 1 species